UAGAACAUGAGUGUAGACGAC
rnacentral:miRNA from 1 species